AACGCAUAUUGCACCUCUUGGUAUUCCAGGAGGUAUGCCUGUCCGAGCGUCGUUACAAUCUCUCAAGUUUGGAAUCAGUCCAGCCUUGGUCAUGCGCCCUGAGGAGUCUUGCACUUUUCCGGUUCGAAAUGCAAUGGCGAGCCAACUUCCCCCAUUGUGUGUAGUACUGAGAUGUUAUCUUCGUAGAUGGGAUAGUUAAGUUUUGCCGUUAAACACCAUUCAAGAGUGUUGACCUCGGAUCAGGUAGGAAUACCCGCUGAACUUAA
rnacentral:misc_RNA from 1 species